AGACGCACGCUAUCUAGCAACUGCAGGGGAAGAUACGUUAAUUCAUAUAUGGGAAGUGCAAGAAUGUGAAGUUAUGAAUGACGUACACUCUGUUGUUGGUGCUGCAAGUACCUCACCUACUCAUCCAAUGGCUUGCUCUCUCAGUACCUCCCCUGUUCAUCCAAUUGCAAGGACCAAUUCCGACCGGCCUCCUCUGCCAGAGAUGGGACAUAUGGCAUCAGAAAGAAGGAAGAGGGGGAAGGUCUCCCAUAAGAAAAAGGGAAACUCAAUUCCGGAGUACGUCAAUGUACCAGAAACUGUUUUUGCUCUUUCAGAGAAACCAGUAUGCACUCUUAAAGGUCACCAGGAUGAUGUCUUGGACCUGUCUUGGUCAAGAUCUCAGGUCAGUUUCCUGCACUUUCAUUUCAGUUAACUAAACAUGACACAAAUUUGUAGCAGGGAGAAAAUGAAACCACAGUAAUUUUGAUAACCCCCCCCCCCCCCCCCCCCCAAAUUCCAAUUUAUGUGAAAGUUUUUCCUUUUUAGUUAGUCCCAUUUAGUAACAAUUUAACCUUAAAACGCCCACUUUACCCUUAAUGAGAUAAUUUAUAGCCACACAAACUUUUAUGGCUCAUUUUAGACCACAAGUUUCAAAUACUACAUGUCUUUCUUAAACUUCGUGCCCAGUCAAAUACUAUUACAUGAAUUGGGACAGUGGGAGUAAUAUCUACUACUCCAUGCGUCCCAAUUUAUGUGACACUCUUUCCUUUUUAGUCAGUCUCAAAAGGAAUAACAUCUAAUUUAACUUUAUAAUGCAUACUCUAUCCUUAAUGAGAUGAUUUAUAGCUACAUAAAUAUCUAUGACUUAUUUUAAACCACAAAUUCCGAAAGUCUUUCUUUCUUUAUUAAACUCCAUGCCCAUUCAAACACCGUAAUAUAAAUUGGGAUGGAGGCAAUAUCACUUAUUAAAGCAUACAUACUAACAUGCACUAUCAAACUUGGAUGCAGCUACUUCUUUCAUCUUCGAUAGACAAGACUGUUCGGCUAUGGGAUAUUGAAACUCAAAGUUGCUUAAAAAUGUUCGCGCAUAAUGACUAUGGUGAGAUGCCAAAUUACAUUGUAGCUAGUUAAUAGAAGACUUUAAAUGAUGAUUUCUUCCCAUCACUUGCAUCUAUUGAGUUUAUGGUUUGGCAGUUACUUGCAUACAGGUCAAUCCAAUGGAUGAUGACUACUUCAUCAGCGGUUCUCUAGACGCAAAGGUUCGGAUUUGGAAUAUACCUGAUCGGAAAGUUGUAGAUUGGACUGAUCUUCAUGAAAUGGUCACUGCUACUUGCUUCACCCCAGAUGGCCAGGUAGUACUGGUAAUUGUAUUGGAGCAUUCACAAUUAACUUCUCGCGAAACUAAAACCGACUUCAAGAAUGUAGCAUAGUUCUUCAAUAUAAAAUGAAUUUCUGUUGUUGCAUGUUUCUCCUUCUUGAGUAAUUGUGUCAUUAAAGAACAUCAUCAAGCCAAACCACAUACAGAUAUCCCUCUCCCCCCCCCCCCCCCCAAAACACACACACGCAACUAUGGCGGUGGGAAAUUAGGAGACAAAGAAAAAGAGCUAUUCCCCCACCCCCACCCCCCACACACACAAAAAAAGGCAAGAGCACAAGGUAUGAUCUUGAGUAUUUUUAUGAUUCUCAAGGGAAAAUGUGAAACAGUAUCACUGAUAUUCCCUUUUUCCUUUCAUGAAGGGUGCUUUAAUAGGCUCACAUAAAGGCAGCUGUCGUGUGUACACUACCUCCGGUAAGUAAUGCAUCACUUAUCAUCUUUUAUUGAUGUGAUAAUUUCCAGAGGAAUGCAGCUGCUGACUUCCAAUGUGUGUUUAUUCCUCAGAAUGCAAACUGGAACAAAAAGACAACAUCGACAUUCAGCCUAAGAAAAAUUCUCAACUCAAGAAGGUCACUGGUUUACAGGUAUUUCUCUUUUCUAGAGUUACUACUGUCUAAGUAUACAGUCUUCUUUUCCUCAACACCUAUGAAAGCUGAACUUGUUUAUUUCCAGUUUGCCCCAUGGAACCCAGCAGAAGUGCUUAUAACUUCAGCUGAUUCUCGUAUCAGAAUUUUUGACGGGUCAGAGAUGAUCUAUAAGUUUAGAGGUAUUUUCUCUCUGAUAUACUCUUUUGGAGAGUUCAAACAACAUCCUUGUGUUCUCUAAACCAAGGUUCUAUUCUGUGGUAGCAUCAGGUUUCCGAAAUACAAGCAGCCAAAUUGCAGCUUCGUUCAGUUCAGAUGGGAAGUAUGUCAUAAGUGCAAGUGAAGACUCUCAUGUCUACAUCUGGAAGAGAGAAGAACCUAAGACCCCCACCGGUAAACGUAGAACUUCAGUCUCUGUUCAAGCUCACGAGCGCUUUCAAUGCAAAGAUGUUUCAGUUGCCAUCCCAUGGCCAGGUAGUGUAAAGAAUGAACCACCACUUGUAGAGAUGCACUCAAAAAGGCAUUCAAAACGCUUCCUCCCGCCCCCAUAUCCCACUGUUGGCUCUCCUACAAAAGAAAACCCUGAUGUGGCAAAUAGUAAAAGACAUUUGCCACCUCUACCCAUAAAAGUUAAUGCAUCGGAGAGAGUCCAAAGUAGCCAGGAAGAGGAAGACUUAGCUCAACUUUCUCGGACAGAUUCUGGUAUUGGUCCCAGUGAAUCAUUUGUAUCAGGUUCUUCAUCAACUAGGUUUGGUGAUUCACCUUCUAUAUCUGCAUCCAGCAGCUCACGCUCACACUCUUGGUCCUCCUCCUGGUCUCAAGAUGGUAGUAACAGCAAUGGCAGCAACGUUGUCCAAGCAACAGCAUGGGGCAUGGUAAUUGUGACAGCAAGUUUGGGAGGUGAGAUCAGGGUGUAUCAAAAUUUUGGGCUACCUCUGAAAGCUGGUCGUCAGACCAAUCUCUUUAGAGAUCUGACAUAAAUUGUUGUUGAGGGAACAAAGUGAGACCUAUAUUCUGUUCUUGAGCUUGAAAUUUUUCUAUAAUACUUAGAUGUUUAAGACCUAGUCGAGCUCAAGUUACACUGAACAAGGCAGAAGCGAUUGGCUUCACAAUGUUGAUAAGUAAAUGGGGAAACGGGUAAUUUUUUCCUUUUAGUACCUUUUACAUUAGAAAGACCAAGCAGAGAUCACAGUGUUCAAUGUUCCAAACAAUUGAACAUUUUAACUUGCAAUGUACAAUAGCAUGCAUUUUAACUAGCAUUUGCAAAACUUUGUUUUUUUUAACAAGUGUCUCACAGGUUAGCCGUUUCAAGUCACAGAUACAAGAGAAAAUUCAUUGGCACAUUUACUUAUUUUGGGAACAGAUCAAUCAACAAUCAACCAACUAUACCUCAAUCCCGUAUUAGUUGGGGUCCGCAAUAUGAAUCUUUAGACUAUUUUUAGCUGGUCCUUGAUCAACUACACCAUCAUCCUUUAUCGGCUAGGGACUAAAUAUACUUUGUGAAACUCACGUAUGACAUAACAGAUUUAAAAAGAAUCUUAUAGCAUCGCCUGGAAAGGAUGAUACUAAGCUAUCCUUCGGUUUUUUAUCAAAACACAAGACAAUGCCCUUAUGAAAUCCAAGGUUAAACUGUUUGAAGAAUGAAGAAAGGAAUUCUUCUGGGAUGUGCGUUUAGGUUAUUAGCAAAAGCAUACUUUUAUUUAUUUAAUUAUAUCUCAGCACGCCCUUCACGUGUUGGCCCGAUUCUUUUUAAUGGGACAAACACAUGGAAAUUCGAAAUGAUAAUGGAUGUUGAUAAGACUUAAACCACGGAUCUCUGCCUACUCUGUGUGACCAUUUUAUCUAAAAAUUUAAGAUGUUGAAAAGAACAAGGUUUUAUUUGCUUAAUUAUGUCUCAACAAAGACGACAACCAUUUACCUUUUUAUAAAUAUAAAAAAAUGGAGACCAUUUACCUAAAGCAACAUAACUAGAGAUGUUCAGUGAUAACUGAAUCGAGGAUAAUUUUCUAACGAUAAUUGAAGCAAAGAUUAUCCGAUAAAACAAGCAGACGUGAAGAAACAUAAAUGAAAAUACUCAUCAAAAUAUGUAGAAGCUAGUGCAAUAACACAGAAAUUAGCUGCGCAAAGAAAAGGGCUUUACCCAUUUUACAGACUGAUUGGUUCUCUUAACUGUCCGCUAAUAUUGCUUCUGUUGUCGCCCCCAAAAUUAAAAUGAAUCGUGCAAUGGCUUCACUAUGGAAGAGUAGCGAUGGACAGUGAAUACAGAUUCUUGAAUACAGAUUCAAGAGGAGAAAUUUCAACAACUAUCUCUAUUUCAAAUAGGUUUUUUUCUUCUUUAUGUUAAUCUCAAAUAGUUGUAGGCAGUAUAUCAU
rnacentral:lncRNA from 1 species